GAAUAAUUUACAGAAGAUUGGAAGAAUUGGUAGAAAAUUAUGUUGAAGAAGACCAUUUCGUACUCUGGAGAAACCUAAUAACACGUUUGAGAAUCAAUCACUGGGACAAAUCCAAAUCUACAGAAAUGCAACAAAUUAAGACUGCGGAAGUUUGAUUUAUUUUUCAUAUAGCUUGGAUCACGUGGCUGUUUGGUUUGUAUGAUGUACGACAAUAGGUGUUUGCAUACCAAGAUGCACACCACCAACCUUAAUGGACCAUUGGAGAUGGAACUUAAUCCUGAUGUGGCUGCGGCAACUCAGGCUAUUCGACGACGUACUUAGUGUUUGGGUACACUAAAACUAUGGAGCAAGGCGAUGAUGGAACCACAUGGCGAAACCUGGUGUUGUGCUAUGUGAGGGAAAGGAACAGACUUUUGAGUGCAUUCACAGACAGUUGCCAGUGCUUUGACAAUGCUAUCCAAUUCCUUUUGUACCUUCCUUAAUUGUGGUACUAAGAGAUGCCAAUUUGAAUUAAAUAUUUCAUAAUGUAAACUUUCAAUUGCUUCAUAUGAUCUGUAUAUUGAUUUUCACAUUUACUCUUAUUCUUGUUGUUAAAUUUAAGGGAACCAAAUUUUACUUGAUGUACAAUUCCUACUAAAACCCUUUCUAUUUACAUAUUCUCUUUAUUAGAGAUAUACAAAUCAUUUCGUAUGACAGCAUUUGUGUAUACACUUUGUUCAAACUAUUUUCUAUAAUCAAAUUUUAUACUUAUGUUGAGUCCAUAUGACUCAACAACGUAGUAAAAUGUUAAGAAAGCCGAGUAGCGGCAUAUGUAAUUAUGUAAUAGGCGUAUUUAAACUGUUUUAGCAUGUAAUUAUCUGAACUGUUUCUUAUUUAAAUUGUUUUGUUAAUUAAAUUGCAUUGUGUAUUAUUGAGAAAGAGCGGGAAACCGCGCAUAGAUACAUUUUGAGAAAGAGCGGGAAACAGCGCGCAGUAAUACAUCUGUAAUGGUAGCACGGAUUGUCUGCACCAAAAACCAUUGUUGGCGGCGAGACCGCACUUUUGUAGCAUUGAGCGUUGGAAGCGAGCAGUUGCGAGUAAGAUGUGAGACGAGGCAGUCGUAGCUAGCGAGACAUGAGAGGAGGUCGCUGUAAGCGAGGUAUGAAUUAACACUUUGAAAGAAGCGGUGUGCUCGCCAGCCACUCGCUAUAUGUAGCGCAAUGCUAGUUUUUAAGAAUUUUUGUAAAGAACUAUGCCCCUUGUAAUUGUUUGUCAAGAUCGUUCUCAGAAUAUAGUUAUGUAAUUUUGAUGGAAAAUUAGGUAUGUAGCGCAACGCAACUUUUUAAGAAUUUUUGUAAAGAACUAUACCCCUUGUAAUUGUUUGUCAAGAUCGUUCUCAGA